rnacentral:lncRNA from 1 species
GUGUAACAAGACAGCUGCCAAAACGCACAACUUGUGACUCUCCAUUGAGAAGUCCACACCUGGCCUUUUAAAGAGGGGCUCCGGUGAGGAGCUUGCACCUACGCCUUUCUGACAGCCUUUCUAUUAACACCACCUCUGCUUCACCGGCUGCUCUCGUCAAUCUUUUCAACAUCAGUGCCAGGAAAUACGGGUUUGCCAGAAUUGAAGUUCCCCCAAAAGAUCGAGGCUCCUCCUCCGGCUGCGGCAGGCUACUGCUUAAAGAGCUGUCACUCCGUCCCAGUCCCUGCUGACAGCCCGGCGGUGUGGGGAACGGGAGGACUUUUCAAGUAACCCCUGAAAAGCAUCACACGGCGGGAACCAGAAGCCUCAGUCCCAUCCUUGGGCAGUGACUUUGGGGGAAUAAGUAAUCUCUGUCUCUCGAGUAGGAACUGUGCCGAUCUCACGGGUCUGAGGAUUGGCUAGCCCGUGUAGAACACUGGGAAAGGCGUCCUAUGGCCGGCUAGGCUGCCGCCCCCUUGGAUGCUGUGGUUGUAAGGUGGGUGACCGACCGACAUCACU